rnacentral:tRNA from 1 species
GGGCGCAUAGCGCAGCUGGUAGCGCGCCACACUCACAUUGUGGAGGUCAUAGGUUCGAGCCCUAUUGCGCCCA